rnacentral:rRNA from 1 species
CCUGUCAGGCGGGACGAAGGGACGCCGGUAAAUAAUCGGCGUUCUUGACGGUACCGCCAGAGGAAGCCCCGGCUAACUCCGUGCCAGCAGCCGCGGUAAUACGAGGGGGCGAGCGUUAUUCGGAAUUAUUGGGCGUAAAGGGCGCGUAGGCGGCUUGGUAAGUCAAAGGUGAAAUCCCUCGGCUCAACCGAGGAAUUGCCUUUGAAACUGCCUGGCUUGAGGCCGGGAGGGGGUAGCGGAAUUCCCAGUGUAGCGGUGAAAUGCGUAGAUACUGGGAGGAACACCGGUGGCGAAGGCGGCUACCUGGACCGGUUCUGACGCUGAUGCGCGAAAGCGUGGGGAGCAAACAGGAUUAGAUACCCUGGUAGUCCACGCUGUAAACGAUGGGUGCUCGGUGUCGCGGGUAUCGACCCCUGCGGUGCCUUAGCUAACGUGUUAAGCACCCCGCCUGGGGAGUACGGUCGCAAGGCUG